AUUGAACGCUGGCGGCAUGCUUUACACAUGCAAGUCGAACGGCAGCGGGGGCUUCGGCCUGCCGGCGAGUGGCGAACGGGUGAGUAAUGCAUCGGAACGUGCCCAGUCAUGGGGGAUAACUACGCGAAAGCGUAGCUAAUACCGCAUACGCCCUGAGGGGGAAAGCGGGGGAUCGCAAGACCUCGCGUGAUUGGAGCGGCCGAUGUCGGAUUAGCUAGUUGGUGGGGUAAAGCCUACCAAGGCGACGAUCCGUAGCGGGUCUGAGAGGAUGAUCCGCCACACUGGGACUGAGACACGGCCCAGACUCCUACGGAGGCAGCAGUGGGGAAUUUUGGACAAUGGGGGCAACCCUGAUCCAGCCAUGCCGCGUGAGUGAAGAAGGCC
rnacentral:rRNA from 1 species